rnacentral:misc_RNA from 1 species
GAACGCACAUUGCACUGUCUGGAAUUCCGGACAGUAUACCUGUUUGAGUAUCAGUAAAUCCUCCUACAAAAGUCUUUUUAUUAAGACCUUGUAGGGAAUUGAGUCAACACGUUAAAACGCGUGACUUUAAAUACAUUUGCUGGUGCACUACCCUUAAAGUUACUACUAGCUGAACAGAGUUAAAAGGCCUAGUGUCUUACGCUGUCUAGCUACUGAAACUACCGGUAGCAAACCGAUUCAUAAACAUACAGCUAACGACUGUGACUAUGAUCUCAAAUCAGGUAAGAUUACCCGCUGAACUUAAG